UCGCCUACGGGGGGCAGCAGUGAGGAAUAUUGGUCAAUGGGCGGAAGCCUGAACCAGCCAAGUCGCGUGAGGGAAUAAGGCCCUACGGGUCGUAAACCUCUUUUGCCGGGGAGCAAGAGCCGGGACGCGUCCCGGCCCGGAGAGUACCCGGAGAAAAAGCAUCGGCUAACUCCGUGCCAGCAGCCGCGGUAAUACGGAGGAUGCGAGCGUUAUCCGGAUUUAUUGGGUUUAAAGGGAGCGUAGGUGGAUUGUUAAGUCAGUUGUGAAAGUUUGCGGCUCAACCGUAAAAUUGCAGUUGAAACUGG
rnacentral:rRNA from 1 species